GCUAUCACCCUCCAAGGGAAUGCCAAGAUUUUAGCCAAUGGUGUCUUGGCACUGACCAACAGUACACAAAUUCCUCCAACUACAACUUUCCCAAGUACAGGUCGUGCCUUAUAUUCAACACCCGUGCCUCUUUGGGACAGUGCUACCGGCAAUGUUGCCAGUUUUGUCACUUCCUUUUCUUUCGUCAUACUGAACCCGUCUGGACGUGUUCCAACUGAUGGACUCGUAUUUU
rnacentral:lncRNA from 1 species